rnacentral:lncRNA from 1 species
AAAAAAAAAAAAAAAGAUGAGAGCAGCCGUUAAACAAGACUUUGUUGGGGCAAUAGCAACGAAGAGUGACAACUCUCCAGGUAAGAAAAUUUCAAUUAGUUUGUAAUGUUGUCUCUGCAUACAUUGAUUUAGCCAUAUAUACGUUGGGUGGGGGGGAGGAGAAAUUGAUUUUUUUUGCAAACUUUUUUUGGAGAUGUUGCAAUGUGAUUCUUUACAUUUGUUGAUUAAAUCAAGAAAGAAAUUGUUGCUAGGUAAAAUCACGAGUAAUGACGAGCUAAGAUGGGAUAUGUUAGUGGGAUAGAGAAAUUGCAAUUUCAUUACGGUAUAUUUUCCAGAACUAGUUGGUUCCUCUUUUUAUUUGUAUUUAUUUUUAGUUAUCACAUUACGAUUCAUGUUUUGACACAUUGUGAUAGGUAAUUUAAUAUUAGGUGCAUUGUAUUAUAUGAAUACCAUUAGAUUUAUGUUAUUUGGAGAAAAUGAGACUUGACCCUAGAUUUGAAUUUAAGAAAUAUGAGAGUUGGGAUAUGAAGCAUCAAGAUUAGGAACUUGAUUAUAGAUUUGUUCUCUAUGAUUUAUGGGUAAAUUAUGUAUAUACUAUUUUAUAUAAUUUUACUAAAAUUCCAAAUUGUCCUUGUGGGCUUCGAUUAAACUUUUUCGGUGAGUUUUGGGGUAUGGGUUAGAAGUAUAGCAAAAUGGGUGUGUACAAACUCGUUUACUUACAAAUAAUGUAUAUUUUAUAGUUUAGGAAUGUUUUGAAACUUUGCAAAAAGGAAGGCAAAAUCUUGAGGAUUCGUGACACAUGUUCGACAUUCGAGGUAUGUUAAGAAUUCAUAGACUUCAUGGAUGGACGUUUUUCUAAUUAAAGAUUAAACAUGGAAUAGUUAAUGGGUUAGAGCGACAGAUGGAGUCUCGUACCAAUGGCGUGACGGGCAUUGGUAAGAGUACUAGUGUUAUAGAAGGGAAAGUUUGUUACUAUGAAUGACAUAUUGUAAUUAGAGAAUGCAAAAGCAUAUGUACAUUAGCUGAUGUAUUAUUGACUCUUUUUCUUUGUGUGGUUGUGUUUCUUUAUUGAACCCGUAAAUUUAUGAUAGUUGAGGUGAUUAUAUGUUAAAUCGAUAUUGAUUGAUUGAGAUGCAUCAUCAUCCCCCUAUUUUGUUGAUAUUAUAUUGUGCACAUGCAUUGACAUGGGAUUGAGUAUGAAUAAAGGCCUGACACAUGGAGAUCGUCCAUGUUGAGUUUAAUUUAUUUUUAUAAGUUGGGUAUGUGGAGAUUGUCUAUGUUGGGGAUGGUUUGAUUUUAUGAUAGUGCAUUGAGAUCGUCAACACAUACACGUGGAGAUCAUCCGUGUCGGUAUAUGGACCUCGCGAGUCCCCCAUGAGUCAUGAAAUCUCGAUGUUUUUCUGAGAAUUAUCGUGUAUAUACGAUUGAGAGAGUACUUCACAUAAUUUCAUGGUGCCGCAUUGCAUCUCAUUAUAUAAUUCAUUCUUGUUUGAUUAUAUGCUUCAUUGGUGUUUGAAUAUAAUGUGUCAUUUGUUUCUCCCUUUCAGAUGAAACUUGGCUGUUAAGUAUAAUGUAGACUUGAAAAAUUAAAGGAUGAUUUUCUUAUAUACUCAUGUCGCUACUUCUUCUUUGUCGGUCUAUGAGACAUACUAGGUACACGUGAUUUCGUACUCAUACUAUACUUAUUGCAUUCUUUUGUGGUGCAGAUUGAAUUUGAAUAUGAGCGCAUCUCGCGGAGCUUACCGAGUUUAAGCUUGAGUUAUCUUGGAGUUGUAGUGAGUUGCUUGGCUGAUCCAUGGUCCAAUCUCCCUCUAACUUUUUAUUCAUCCUGUUGGUCUAAUAUUAAGACAUGAUAUUUCUUACGUCUAGACAUAUCAUUUUAGUUUGAGAACGACAUCAUGUUUUAUAAGUUCAUGUACUUAUGACACUAAAUCUGGGAU